UUCACCGCUGCUCUACCUCAAAUCCACUACCUUCGCCAAAUUCCAGUCUACGUAUCUCAAAAGGAUUGAAGUUCCGAUGCGUUUAUGAAAGAUAACAACGUCGUUGUUCGGCAUCUGAGUUCGAUUCAUUCUCCAUUCACCGGUAAUUUCAGUUCAAAGAACAUCAUGGAAACUGGAAAGCCCAACGAGGGUUGACCGACUGUUAAAGGCCAGCCUAAAUUGGACGGUUGACGUGAGAAGAAUGAGAUUAACUGGCUGUGUGUAGAAUGUGUAGGUUUCGCUUUGGUUACAGUGGUAAGCAUGCAUUUAUUGUUUAUAAUGCUAGACAUCAUCCCACAGCUUCAAACCUUUUUGUAAUCCAAGCUUUAUGUUUUAGACAUGGUUUUGUAAAAAGCAUAAAAAAACACUUAAAAUGAUGGUUAUGUUGUACCUUUUGUGACUUAAUAGAAACCAAAUACCCCGCCCGCGGCGGGUAAUUCUCUAGUUGUAUAUGUUUGGUGGUCGAAAUAUGAACAUGUAAACUUUUAACUUUAACUUAAAAGAAGGAAAAUUAUCAUUGUGUCAAUAUAGACCAGUCAUACUUCGUUUUCUAUUAAGGUUUUAAAACACCAUGGAAAAGCACGUUAGA
rnacentral:lncRNA from 1 species